rnacentral:rRNA from 1 species
AGUGGACGCUGGCGGUAGGCCUAACACAUGCAAGUCGAACGGCAGCACAGUAAGAGCUUGCUCUUACGGGUGGCGAGUGGCGGACGGGUGAGGAAUACAUCGGAAUCUACUUUUUCGUGGGGGAUAACGUAGGGAAACUUACGCUAAUACCGCAUACGACCUACGGGUGAAAGCAGGGGAUCUUCGGACCUUGCGCGAUUGAAUGAGCCGAUGUCGGAUUAGCUAGUUGGCGGGGUAAAGGCCCACCAAGGCGACGAUCCGUAGCUGGUCUGAGAGGAGGAUCAGCCACACUGGAACUGAGACACGGUCCAGACUCCUACGGGAGGCAGCAGUGGGGAAUAUUGGACAAUGGGCGCAAGCCUGAUCCAGCCAUACCGCGUGGGUGAAGAAGGCCUUCGGGUUGUAAAGCUCUUUUGUUGGGAAAGAAAAGCAGCAGGUUAAUACCCCGCUGUUCUGACGGUACCCAAAGAAUAAGCACCGGCUAACUUCGUG